UCCCCAGCCUGCUAUCCUGCAUGCUGACUUGCUCUCUCUCAAUGCAUCUUGCUGAUGGUAGGACCACAGGCCCUACUGGGACUAAGCAAUCAAUGCCAGUUCUUCUUAAGAGUAGGAGAAAGAAGCAGAGUAACUGCCCACUGACCCCUGUCUACUGCAAUAAUUGCCAGGACUUUGGGUGUUUUCAAACCCAGCUAAGCGAAGGAAUGAACUAACACAAGUCAGUUCCUCCAAGGUACAGUAUGAGCUCUCUGGAUUGCAUGCAGUUGUAUUGUCAACAGCCUGAAGAUGUGGUGUCUUAAUAUUUCUUUCUAUGCUUCUCUGGAGAGGCCUACUCCUGUCUCCUAUGUACUUCUGCCAAGCUCCUACCUUGCUAGCUUUAUACUCCCUUUAAUGAGCUUGUUUAGUCAUUGUUUUCCCCAGAAGAAACAAAUGAUCAAAUCAAAACUAAAAGAAUGAAUGAAUAAAGCCACAGACUGGGAAUGAACACAUUGCCUGAAGUCUCUGCAAGGAAACUAUUCAGGAAAUAGUUAGAAGAGAAAAAUACAGGACAUAAGUAAGAAUUUAUGCAAAUGACUACCUGCCUUUGCGAACAACAACUUCUAAGUUUUGCAAUCUAGCAGUGAGGAAUUAAUACUUAACCAUUAGGUUUAGGUAGUGAUUUGAAGGAGUUAAAUUCCCAGGCUACCUCUUCAGAGCAGGGUGGGGCAUUGGGGAAGUCAGAGACUGAAAAAAAGGCACCUGAAUGCCCCGGGAAGAAGCAGCAAAACCUUCUGUCAAGCUCCCCUUCCUCUCCUAUGCUCCAACUACUCUCCAGCUAAGGGUGUCCUGGUGCACACCAGCAACUGGAGCCCUGGCAGCACACACCUGCGUGCAGAGCAUGUGAGGAGCCUUUCUCACAUCAGGAAGAGAGUGCCACGUCCACGUCCUGUUCACCUCUCCUCAGAGCCAUCCCCUCCCCACUGGUGUGACAUUGCACACCAUGGCCAGUGGCUGGGGCCUGAGGGCAGGGACAUGGACAUCAUCCCAGGCAUCUUGGAAUGCAUCCUUUGGGGGACCGGGAUCCGGGAGCGGGCCCCUGUCUGGGCCCUGGUACAGCACACACAAGAUUCAGCUGUUUGGAGUUCUACUUGCUGUUGCUUCAAAUUUUCUCAUCAGUGUCUCUUUGAAUAUACAGAAAUGCGCUCAUCUCCGGCUGCUUUGCCAAGCAGAGGCGAAGCCCUACUACAGGAGCAAGCUGUGGUGGUGUGGGAUUGCCCUCCUGGGGCUGGCAGAGGUGGGCACUUUCACAGCCUAUGCACUCGCCCCCGUUGCUCUCGUCGCUCCACUGGGAUGUGUUUCUGUUAUAGGUAGUGCAUUUAUUUCUGUCUUUUUCCUAAAGAAGACCAUGAGGACUGCUGAUAUAUUGGGAGGAACGCUGACAAUAACAGGGAUAUACUUGUUGGUCACAUUUGCUCCAAAUGUACCUCAAGAGCUCACAGCAAGACAAGUGCAGAAUUACUUAGUGAGCUGGCCUUUUUUGGUAUAUUCAAUUUUAGAAAUUCUAAUAUUCUGCAUUCUCCUCUAUUUUUACAAAAGAAAGGCUGUGAAACACAUCAUGGUUUUGUUAAUGAUGGUAGCUCUACUGGCAUCACUGACUGUCAUUGCUGUUAAGGCUGUGUCCAGCAUGAUAGCACUUUCUGUGAAGGGGAAAAUGCAGCUAACUUACUCUGUUUUCUAUAUCAUGUGUGUUUUAAUGGCAACUUCUUGUGUUUUCCAAAUCAAGUUCUUGAAUCAAGCAAUGCAUCUGUAUGAAGCAACAGCAGUUGUCCCCAUUAAUUUUGUGUUCUUCACCACCAGUGCCAUCAUUUCAGGGGUCAUAUUUUAUCAGGAAUUCCAAGGUGCAGCUUUACUGAGCGUGUUCAUGUUUCUGUUCGGGUGUCUCCUGUCUUUCCUUGGUGUGAUUAUAAUUGCAAGAAAUAAAAAAGAGGAGCAUUUACAAAUUCCUUUUAUUGACUGUGGACAUAUUCCUGGACAAAAACUGGCAGGCAAAAUACAACCAGAUUCUCACUGUUCAUGCUAUGGCACACUGAAUAAGGAAGAUGACUUGGUGAAAAGGCAAAGCUGAAAGAAGAAAGCACUUUACAUGCCAAUUAACAGGAGGAACACCACUGGAACAAGGAUCAGUAGCACCUUUUUAUUGAACAUAUUCAAGUAUACAUUGAACUCCUUGUCUGCAUUUGGCCGAACACAAAGUAAAAAUCAGAUCGUAGCAGCUCGGAAGAAGUAGCAGAGAACAGGAUGAGACCCAGCGUGCCGUGGUUGGAUGUCUGGCUUCCCACUUCCCACAGCUGCAGCCCUGCCACCUCUCCAGGGAGGUUCCUAUGCUUUGUUUUGACACUGUAAUUUAUUGUUGGCUGUUUUGCACGCCCAGCGAUGCAGCAGCCUCACUUCUACUCAGUGAUUUGGUUUCUGACUCAUUGCUGAGUUUGGUGGUGGUCCAAAGAGAAGGUGCCCCUGCCCAGAGGUCUCCAGGAAGUCCAGCGCAGCAGGAGACUUUGAAAGCCUCUGGCCCAGGGUCUGACACAGGUAUGGUGGUACCUGGCCAUGGUAACAAGCAACAUCACAGAGCUGCCCUUUCUUCAGCACCUGAGAGAUUUGAGAGCUCAGCCCAGAUUUGGGAGGAGGGUGACUAAUUCAGUGACUGUUCGAGGUGUGGUAAGUAAAUACCACACUGGGAGGAGUGCCUGGAUGUGGGGGGACCCUGCCCAGGUCAGUUGGUUGCUUCACAAGGAUGGCGAUGCACCAGAGAGAAAAGAUGCUGAUACUUGACAGAUGCUAAUAUAUGACAAAAAGGUUUCUGCUCUCUCUGUCCCUCACUUCUCACAGCCUCACAGGGAGCCUGUGUUCUGAAAGCAGUGCUUUGGGCCUCUUCCCUCCAAGAGGACACAAGCAUCUGCCAAUGCUGACUGGGACAUCCAAGCCCCAAAGAGCAGUGGGAUGUGCAUACCAGCCCUGGUAUCUUUGGAUCAUCAUUCAGGUGAUCAGCCAUUUAUUUACUUAGCUGUAGAUCUCCCCACGCUGAGGUUCCCAAGGCACCCCACAGGGUCCAGCUCCUGAGUGGGUCCUGUGCUUCAGGUCCUGCCUCUCACUGAACAAGGAAUGAGUGUCCCCCAGCCCUUUUGGGGAUAUAGGAUUUGAAAUACCUGUGCAGUGGAGAGGAUAUUGUGGUGCUUUUACAGCCCAAGGUGCUAUGUUAAGCCACAGAACAGACGCAGCUAUUUUGCUGGCAGCUUUCUACAGCGAAUAGCUUGGAUCCAGUGCUCUGAGGUGUUUGGGGUGGUUUUUCUUUGUAAUUUCAAAUGAACAGAUCCCUAAUGUCACCUCAAUUAGCCUGAGAUAAUUUGUGGUAGAGUUUCUCAUUUAAAAAAAAAAAAGUUUCUUUUAAUAGUGAAGUCUUUGCAAGUAAAAGGCCCUGUCAGAGCACUUUAAAAGUGAUUACAGUGACUCACAUUUUUAAUGGCUUUUUUUUUUAAUCUCAAAAAUGGCUUUCUUCCAAAUAAAAUCCUACAAGGCCUCAUAUAACAAACAAGGGUUACUGCUCUUUUCCACACAUAACAUGAAAAAUAUCCUUGAGAGGAGCAAACUGCAGCCCAUCUGCUGUAGCUUGGCUGGCGUGCGGCACAGCUCGCUGGCCAUUACGCAUGGCUCCGGGUAAAGCAAACCACCUGCUUCCUGCACGAGGUCCCGCAGCCUCCCCCGUGCUUCUCCGAGCAGGAAACCCAUCCAAACUGCUGAUGGGGGAUGACAACCUUGGCAUUCCCUUUCACUGCAUUUGUUCUUAUGCCAUUUGUUGUUCACUCAAGUGCUCCGUGGACUUUCGUCUUCUUUUCCAUCAAAACUAGAAAAAGGCAGGCUUUGCCAGGGAUAAAUAGACUCUUACUUUCCUGUCUAUUGCGCUCCCCUAAUCUCCAGCUGCAGUCAGCAAAGUCUUCAGUUGGGAGCCCAGAAGGGCACCCAUGAAAGGGCAGGGAAAGGAGAGAAGUCUGGGGGUAAUUUUGCCAAGGAGCAAUCGGAACAUCAGCCCUUCCACCCUGAUCCAGGGUCUGAUGCUGCACAUGUUUGACUGAGCUGAGCCUUCCAUGUUUCCCACUUAUGUCGAACAACUACUCACUUUAAUUCCAGAAGCAUCUCCCUGACAUGUACUUCCCAGACACGUUCCUAAACACUUAUAGGACAGACAAACUGGCAUUUUGCAAAUAAUAUACUGAGUAAAAAAUGGCAUUUCUCCCAAGCUGCUUGCCAUCAUGCUGCAGAGCUCUGCCAGCACCAUUAAACUGCACAUGCUGAGCAUCUUCUCAUGGCCAUCACUGUCCAUGAAGGGAAACCUCUGCUCACCUUGAUCACUGCCCA